GACGAAUGCUGGCGGCGUGCUUAACACAUGCAAGUCGAACGGAAAGGCCCUGCUUGCCGGGUACUCGAGUGGCGAACGGGUGAGUAACACGUGGGUGAUCUGCCCUGCACUUCGGGAUAAGCCUGGGAAACUGGGUCUAAUACCGGAUAGGAGCCAUUUUUAGUGCGAUGGUUGGAAAGUUUUUUCGGUGUAGGAUGAGCUCGCGGCCUAUCAGCUUGUUGGUGGGGUAAUGGCCUACCAAGGCGGCGACGGGUAGCCGGCCUGAGAGGGUGGACGGCCACAUUGGGACUGAGAUACGGCCCAGACUCCUACGGGAGGCAGCAGUGGGGAAUAUUGCACAAUGGGCGCAAGCCUGAUGCAGCGACGCCGCGUGGGGGAUGACGGCCUUCGGGUUGUAAACUCCUUUCGCUAGGGACGAAGCUUUUGUGACGGUACCUAGAUAAGAAGCACCGGCUAACUACGU
rnacentral:rRNA from 1 species